rnacentral:rRNA from 1 species
AACGCUAGCUACAGGCUUAACACAUGCAAGUCGAGGGGCAUCAGGGUAGCAAUACCGCUGGCGACCGGCGCACGGGUGAGUAACACGUAUCCAACCUACCGUUAACUCGGGGAUAGCCUUUCGAAAGAAAGAUUAAUACCCGAUAGUAUAUUUUCUUCGCAUGUUGAAAAUAUUAAAGAAUUUCGGUUAUCGAUGGGGAUGCGUUCCAUUAGGCAGUUGGCGGGGUAACGGCCCACCAAACCUACGAUGGAUAGGGGUUCUGAGAGGAAGGUCCCCCACAUUGGAACUGAGACACGGUCCAAACUCCUACGGGAGGCAGCAGUGAGGAAUAUUGGUCAAUGGACGAAGGUCUGAACCAGCCAAGUAGCGUGAAGGAUGACUGCCCUAUGGGUUGUAAACUUCUUUUAUAUGGGAAUAAAGUUCUCCACGUGUGGAGUUUUGUAUGUACCAUUAUGAAUAAGCAUCGGCUAACUCCGUGCAAGCAGCCGCGGUAAUACGGAGGAUGCGAGCGUUAUCCGGAUUUAUUGGGUUUAAAGGGAGCGUAGGUGGACUGGUAAGUCAGUUGUGAAAGUUUGCGGCUCAACCGUAAAAUUGCAGUUGAUACUGUCAGUCUUGAGUACAGUAGAGGUGGGCGGAAUUCGUGGUGUAGCGGUGAAAUGCUUAGAUAUCACGAAGAACUCCGAUUG